ACACAGCAUGCAAGUUUUCUUGUGCAUGUGCUAACCUGUCACCAGCAAAAAUCAAAGGAUCUUCGCUUGGAUGAAAAAAAUCCCAUUGCACUGGAAAUACUACCAAUGUCGAGUUACGGAUCUCUUUUUUUCCCCUUUCUUCAAAUGUUCUCGUGUACGCCCAUGUGAAUGUGGGUGUAUUCACGAGGAUACCCUUUUUCCUCUUCCGCCUGGUGUGGGAUUUAACUUUUCAGCGGAUGGAUGGAGCAACCGUGGAUGCCUGGCUGGAUUACCCAGGCAAGAUGAACUCGCUAGCAUCUCUCGUGAAUGGCGUGACUGCACAGCUGCUGGUACUUGAAGACUUGUCACGGCGUAAAUAUGACUGAUCGAAGCCCAAUCAAAUAAUUCGUGACUGCUGUUUUAAAAGUUUCGAAACAGCAAAGACGAAGUUUCAGAGAGUUUCAGAAAUUAUAUUUAUUGAAGACUGAACGGAUCUGGUUAGUAAACG